GACGAACGCUGGCGGCGUGCUUAACACAUGCAAGUCGAACGGAAAGGCCCUGCUUUUGUGGGGUGCUCGAGUGGCGAACGGGUGAGUAACACGUGAGUAACCUGCCCUUGACUUUGGGAUAACUUCAGGAAACUGGGGCUAAUACCGGAUAGGAGCUCCUGCUGCAUGGUGGGGGUUGGAAAGUUUCGGCGGUUGGGGAUGGACUCGCGGCUUAUCAGCUUGUUGGUGGGGUAGUGGCUUACCAAGGCUUUGACCGGUAGCCGGGCUGAGAGGGUGACCGGCCCAACUGGGACGGGGAUAAGGCCCAGACUACUCCGGGAGGCGGCGGUGGGGAAGGGUGUAUAAUGGGCGGAAGCCUGAUGCAGCAACGCAGCGUGGGGGAUGACGGCCUUCGGGUUGUAUACCGCUUUCGCCUGUGCCGAAGCGUGAGUGACGGUAACGGGUAAAGAAGCACCGGCUAACUACGUG
rnacentral:rRNA from 1 species